CCACCCCAACACAGGAAAAAUGUGGUUCAGAAGGGAUGUGUAGGACAAUUGAAGUACAAUAGCAUACGGGUUGUUUGACCCAAGAGCAAGAUUUAUGGUGCCUCCUCGGUUGCAAGAAUUGAAGAAAGCUCUACUUCCCAGAUGCAAGACCAUGCCGCGAGGCUUAUCCAGUACUCCAGUUUCAGACAUGAGAGCAAAUCUACCCAGGACUAGAAGCCAUCAUCCUGAGGUCACAUCUCUGCCUCCUCACCCUCUCUGAUGUGAAAUUAAACUUAACUAUUGUCCAGAUCCCAGUUCAAGUUUCUUUUAUCGCAGAACCUUAGUUUUCUAUCUCCUCGGGGGAGAUGAUAAUACUUACAAGGAGACAGUGGGAAUUGUUAUCUGAGGAUGUUUGUAGCAUUACCAAGGCAGAAUCCAGCUGAGAAUGGACACUCAGCACAGAGCUUUUUCUUCCUGAGUCAAAGGCUGUCUCUGACGCCAGGGUCUCAGAUGUUCACACUGUGGGUGGUGGUGGCCUUUUCAUGUGGUUAUUCUUC
rnacentral:lncRNA from 10 species